UAGUACGGCGAGUGAAGCGGGAAGAGCUCAAGCUUAAAAUCUCCGUGCAAGUUUUGCGCGGCGAAUUGUAGUCUAUAGAGGCGUGGUCAGUGAGGGCGCUCGGGGCAAGUUCCUUGGAAGAGGACAGCAUGGAGGGUGAUACUCCCGUUCAUCCCUGGGUGGCUCUUGCGUACGACCCGUUUUCUUUGAGUCGCGUUGUUUGGGAAUGCAGCGCAAAGUAGGUGGUAAAUUCCAUCUAAAGCUAAAUAUUGGUGCGAGACCGAUAGCGAACAAGUACCGUGAGGGAAAGAUGAAAAGAACUUUGAAAAGAGAGUUAAAGAGUACCUGAAACUGCUGAAAGGGAACCGAAUCGUUUCCAGUGUCUAUAAUCCGUGGUAUAUUUCAUUGGUGAGUGUGUGCGUGCGUGUGCUUUGGCAGUGGCUUUUUUGGCUGCGCUGGGCGUGUGUGCUGUGUGUGCUUGCUGGUGCCCUGUGCUGCGGUGGGACGUCAAGGUCAGUUCGUAUGCUGCGGGAAAUGGCUGCCGAGGAGGUAGGGCUUACGCUCCGCGUUUGUCUGUUAUAUCUUGGUGGACGAGUCGUCGCGGUUGGGACUGAGGUGCCUACAACGUGCUUUUGAGUGAGUGUGGGUCUCCGUGUGCGCCGUGUGCGGAUAGCUUGCUAUGCGUGUGUGGUUGUGUGUGGAUUGAUGCGCGCUGUAACUUGUCGCCGUUC
rnacentral:rRNA from 1 species